rnacentral:rRNA from 1 species
UACAGAGGUCUCAAGCGUUGUUCGGAUUCAUUGGGCGUAAAGGGUGCGUAGGCGGCGCGUUAAGUCGGGUGUGAAAUCUCGGGGCUUAACUCCGAAACUGCAUUCGAUACUGCCGUGCUUGAGGACUGGAGAGGAGACUGGAAUUUACGGUGUAGCGGUGAAAUGCGCAGAUAUCAGGAGGAACACCUAUUGCGAAGGCAGCUCGCUGGGACGUAACUGACGCUGAGACGCGAAAGCGUGGGGAGCAAACAGG